UACGUAGGGUACAAGCGUUAAUCGGAAUUGCUGGGCGUAAAGCGUGCGCAGGCGGUUCCGCAAGUCAGAUGUGAAAUCCCCGGGCUCAACCUGGGAACUGCAUUUGUGACUGCAUGGCUGGAGUGCGGCAGAGGGGGAUGGAAUUCCGCGUGUAGCAGUGAAAUGCGUAGAUAUGCGGAGGAACACCGAUGGCGAAGGCAAUCCCCUGGGCCUGCACUGACGCUCAUGCACGAAAGCGUGGGGAGCAAACAGG
rnacentral:rRNA from 1 species